rnacentral:rRNA from 1 species
AGGACGAACGCUGGCGGCGUGCUUAACACAUGCAAGUCACGGGGGCCCAGCAAUGGGUAACCGGCGAACGGGUGCGUAACACGUGAGUGACCUGCCGAUUUGUGGGGGAUAGCCGGGCCAACGCCCGGGUAAUACCGCAUACGCUCUUCUUGGGGCAUCUCUAGAAGAGGAAACCUCCGGGGCAAAUCGAGGGACUCGCGGCCUAUCAGCUAGUUGGCGAGGUAACGGCUCACCAAGGCUACGACGGGUAGCUGGUCUGAGAGGAUGGCCAGCCACAUUGGGACUGAGAUACGGCCCAGACUCCUACGGGAGCAGCAGUGGGGAAUAUUGCGCAAUGGCCUAACGGCUGACGCAGCGACGCCGCGUGUGGGAUGACGCCUUCGGGUGUAACCACUGUUGCUCGAGAACGAAUAGCGAGCGUUUAGCUCGCCUGACGGUCGUCGAGUGAGAAGCGACCG